rnacentral:lncRNA from 1 species
UUUGUUUUGUAUGCAUGUGAAAGUUUCUCUGGGGACACAGAAGGCAUGAAGAAGCAAGGAUCAGAAGGAAUCAAGGAGGGCAGGAGGUGGGAGCUGGCCGCUGCUUACAAUGACUUCUGCCACAUGUCGAUAGCCAUUUUAAGGUUUGAUAUGUUUUUGGGGAUGGUCCAGAAGCUAGUUUUUGAUUUUGUGUUUCGUUUGCCUAGAGAAGAGACCUUUGCUGCAUUUUACUCUGGGUGGUGGGUGACGUCCUGACUCAAAGGAGUCCAUUUUGAGAGAUGAGAUUCUGACCAUGUCAAGCUGUUUACCUCUAGGGCAUGCUCCACUUAGAGAUCCAUUUUCCUGUCACCAAAAAAUGUAGCAGGGGCCACAUUCUGCCUACUGGGUACCUCCACAGUUGAACAGCUUCAGCAAGAGAGACUGAGGAAGCCCCCAUAUUAGAAUAUUUUACACCCCAGGGGCUAGAGCAUUCACUUGGAGGUGACAGAUCGCAGUUCAAAUCCCCUCUACCCCUUAGACAGAGGGGGACUAGAAUUGCGUGUGUGUGUGUCUCCCGCAUCUCAUUGAGUACCUUAACCACUAGCCUACAAGUUAUGAGGGGGGUCCACCACUUCUUCCCCUCUCCCUGGGCUUGUAAAAGUGUUGUGGGUUCCUAAAGCCAAGAGAGUUUGCAGCUGAGACUCCCAAGUGGUGGAGGAGGCAGCCCAGACAUAGGCGUCUAUCUCCAAGGGAAGAGCAGGACUUAGCAUACACCCCUCCCCUUGGCAGCUCCCACAGGCUAGUUUAGACGAUGAGCCACCUAGCAUGCUGGCUUUUGUGAAUUCCAUUCUUGGGUGUCUGUCUCUCCCCAUGAAUUGUACAUUUAACAGCGCUGGGCACUGAACUCAGACACUGUGAAUCCCAGAGAUUUUCUAGGCGCCUGUAGCUUUAGCUUUCUAUUCAUUAACACCCUCCCCAAAACCAAACAGAGUAGAAAGAACAUGUCCGUGAACAAUCUCCACAGAUUAAAGUGUUUGAAAGAAUAAAAAACAACUUCAGACCA